rnacentral:lncRNA from 1 species
CACCAAUUAUCUCCCUAUUGUCAAGUGAGUAGGCAUUAUUUCUGUUGCUUUCCAGAGCAUCUUUUAACUACUUACCCCCCUGUAUGUUUGGUUUCUAUAGUACUAUUGACUUUCUUGUUACUACUCAUGACACCCCUUAGUAUGUUGGUCUAUUUUCUAACCCUUUCUCUUUAUAAUUAGUAUAUUAACCUGAAGAUCACUGCCGGGUCCGUCAGCUGUGUUCCAGAGCCUUGUUCACGUGUGAGAACUGUAAGUCUAGCUAAUCUAUCACUCUAUGAGCAUGAGACUGGUUUACCAUUCAGCAGUAUCCUGCCUCUAGUCAUCCCUCAUUUUGUACUAAAAACUAUCUGCAAAAUCUUUAGAGGAACUAUUGGGUUUCAAAAAAAUAGUCUCAUGUGGAUUAACACCAUGCUGUG